AUUGAACGCUGGCGGCAGGCCUAACACAUGCAAGUCGAGCGGAGCGGCGGAAGGGUGAGUAAUGCCUAGGAAUCUGCCUGGUAGUGGGGGAUAACGUCCGGAAAGGGGCGCUAAUACCGCAUACUAUCAGAUGAGCCUAGGUCGGAUUAGCUAGUUGGUGGGGUAAAGGCUUACCAAGGUGACGAUCCGUAACUGGACUGAGAGGAUGAUCAGUCACACUGGAACUGAGACACGGUCCAGACUCCUACGGGAGGCAGCAGUGGGGAAUAUUGGGCAAUGGGCGAAAGCCUGAUCCAGCAAUGCCGCGUGUGUGAAGAAGGUCUUCGGAUUGUAAAGCACUGUAAGUUGGGAGGCGGUACCAACAGAAUAAGCACCGGCUAACUUCGUGCCAGCAGCCGCGGUAAUUC
rnacentral:rRNA from 1 species